rnacentral:rRNA from 1 species
CCCUUAGAUGUCCUGGGCCGCACGCGCGCUACACUGACGAAGGCAACGAGCUACUCUUCACCGAAAGGUGUGGGUAAUCUUUUGAAACUUCGUCGUGCUGGGGAUAGAUCCUUGCAAUUUUUGAUCUUAAACGAGGAAUUCCUAGUAAGCGCAAGUCAUCAACUUGCGUUGAUUACGUCCCUGCCCUUUGUACACACCGCCCGUCGCUACUACCGAUUGAAUGGUUUAGUGAGGCCUUCGGAUCCGCGAUUUUAUUGUGGAGAAGUUGGACAAACUCAGUCAUUUAGAGGAAGUAAAAGUCGUAACA